ACAGCACACGGUGUGUGUCCACAUCUUUUGCGGCCCCAUAGAAAUUAAUAAGUUUUUGGAGUUUUUUCGAUUUGGUAUGUGAGCUCCUGACCAACACAACCGUGUCCCAUCACCCUUUGGUCAGUAUAGCACAAAAAAAGUAUGAAAUAGUGUUGUAAGCUAUGCUAUUGCAUCCUGUGGAGUUCGCCACCAGCUUAAAAUGUGUACAUCAGUAGCUUUUCAUGACACAUCUGGGUGAUGGAGGCCACUGCAUAGAGACACACAGCUUCUGUUUAUGGUAUAUCUUGGGCGCUUUUCCCAGUGUAUACAUUAAAUGAAGGCAAUCAUGAUGUGAACAAGGUCUUACUUUGUCAGUUGCACUCUUUGUAACAAAGGGGCUCUUUAGAGCCUGAUGCUAUAGAGCAAAAUUUCACAGGGUCAUUGAGUUUUCAGAAAACUUUUAAGAUGUCAUAGAGACAUAGCAAGAAUUUUGAUUUGUGGGGUUCUGAGUGCUAGAAUGAGAGAGAAGCACUCGUAUAUCACCCCCAGGGGCAGACUGGGAACUCAAAUUGGGGCCAUUUUUAGAUUUUUCCAGGGCCAUGUUGUAGGUGAGUAAAAAUUGACAGAAGGCAGUGCAAACACAAGUAGAUGGGACCAGCAAUACGGUAUUACGGCACAAAACACUGCCCCAGCAGAGCCAAACACCAUAGUACAGUACAAUGACUGCCCCACUGUGGUGGCCAGUGCCAGCUGCCACAUUCUCUUCUACUCCAGUUGCCUCAGGAUGGCAGUACAGUUGGAGUCAGGAGAGAGAGCACCUGUGGCCGUCAGCCAAGUACAUAAGUCCUUGACGCUCCCAGUAUUAAUUAACUGUGAGUGUGUCUGGCUGGCGGACAUGAGGAGGGUCAUUCCACCCCUGAUCACUGUCUCUUUCUUGCCGCCGGAGAACCAGACUCAAUGGAACGGCUAUUGUCUGUCUUGAUUCAGUCUUCUGCAGUGAGGGGAGAGUGUGCUAUGUGAUUGAUGGGGGGUCUCAGCACUCAGACCCUCACUGAUGAAAACCUUUGAUAUAUCUCUGACCUGUGAAAGCUCAGUGACCCUUUAAAUGGCAUGUAACAGCUCUCAGCAGAAGUAAUUGAAUCUUGCCAAUCUCUGUCUGAUAAAGUACUGUUGUAUUUGCCAAAGCGUUUAACUCUGCUACAUCUUCUGCACAUCAUUGUGUCUGCUUGUAUAGCGAAGUAUCAUUUUUCCAUCCUGUUAAGAAAAUAAAUGUUAAAAUGCC